GUUGGGUGAAGUGGUGCACGCCUGUAAUCCCAGUGGCUUUGGAGGUUGAGGCAGGAGGAUCACAAGUUCAAAGCCAGCCUCAGCAACUUAUUGAGGCCCUCGGAAACUCAGUCAGACCCUGUCUCUA
rnacentral:sRNA from 1 species